rnacentral:rRNA from 1 species
AACCUAAAGGCGUAAUGAAAGUAAAAAUUCACCUUUGUGGAGAAUUUAAGGGAAGAUGAGUGGUGUUUUAAUAAACUUGUAAAAGUUUUCCAUUUCGCAUUCCCGGGGCGUCUCAUUCUCAUUGCGAGACGAGGCGCACCAAGAGCGUACACGCUGGGACCCGAAAGAUGGUGAACUAUGCCUGGUCAGGACGAAGUCAG